UACGUAGGGUGCGAGCGUUGUCCGGAAUUAUUGGGCGUAAAGGGCUCGUAGGCGGUUUGUCACGUCGGGAGUGAAAACUCGGGGCUCAACCCCGAGCCUGCUUCCGAUACGGGCAGACUAGAGGUAUGCAGGGGAGAAUGGAAUUCCUGGUGUAGCGGUGAAAUGCGUAGAUAUCGGGAGGAACACCAGUGGCGAAGGCGAUCACCUGGGGUUGUUCUGACGCUGAGGUGCGAAAGCGUGGGGAGCAAACAGG
rnacentral:rRNA from 1 species